rnacentral:rRNA from 2 species
GGGGAUAACACUUGGAAACAGGUGCUAAUACCGUAUAACAACAAAAUCCGCAUGGAUUUUGUUUGAAAGGUGGCUUCGGCUAUCACUUCUGGAUGAUCCCGCGGCGUAUUAGUUAGUUGGUGAGGUAGAGGCCCACCAAGACGAUGAUACGUAGCCGACCUGAGAGGGUAAUCGGCCACAUUGGGACUGAGACACGGCCCAAACUCCUACGGGAGGCAGCAGUAGGGAAUCUUCCACAAUGGACGAAAGUCUGAUGGAGCAAUGCCGCGUGAGUGAAGAAGGGUUUCGGCUCGUAAAACUCUGUUGUUAAAGAAGAACACCUUUGAGAGUAACUGUUCAAGGGUUGACGGUAUUUAACCAGAAAGCCACGGCUAACUACGUGCCAGCAGCCGCGGUAAUACGUAGGUGGCAAGCGUUGUCCGGAUUUAUUGGGCGUAAAGCGAGCGCAGGCGGUUUUUUAAGUCUGAUGUGAAAGCCUUCGGCUUAACCGGAGAAGUGCAUCGGAAACUGGGAGACUUGAGUGCAGAAGAGGACAGUGGAACUCCAUGUGUAGCGGUGGAAUGCGUAGAUAUAUGGAAGAACACCAGUGGCGAAGGCGGCUGUCUAGUCUGUAACUGACGCUGAGGCUCGAAAGCAUGGGUAGCGAACAGGAUUAGAUACCCUGGUAGUCCAUGCCGUAAACGAUGAGUGCUAAGUGUUGGAGGGUUUCCGCCCUUCAGUGCUGCAGCUAACGCAUUAAGCAUCCGC